GCUGGCAGCCUGGCGCUAACCCUAACCCUCACCGCCUGGCGCCUCACGAACACAGCCGCCUGCCGUUGUGCCCAGGCACUUAGCCUUCCACUGCCCGCCGAGCCGUCGAGGCGAGACCGAGCCUACUGCCGCUGGCCGCUGUGCCUAGCCUUCCGCCGUCCGCCGAGCUGUCGAGGGGAGACCGAGCCUUCCGUCGCUGCCCUCUGUGCCCAACCUUCCGCCCUUCCGACCAUGCGCUGACGCCGUCCGCGGUCCGUCGUUGUGCCGAGCCGCCGAUGUGCCCACUGCCUAGUGGCCCCAGCCGUCCGGCCUUCUGUGCUGAGCCCGCGAGCCGUCGUUCGUUGCUCGUCUGUUGUACCCAGGCGGCCAGGCGCCCAGCCCUCCAGCCACGCGCCCAUGCGGGCCACGCCACGCCUGUGCCUUCCGCGGUCCGCCGCUGUGCGCAUGUGCCUUCCGAGCUGUAACAAGUUGAUAUAUUUGGAGGAUUGUUCAAAGGGCUUCAUCUUCAAAAUAUUAAGAAGACAUUUCAAAAGAAGAAGGAUAGGCAAAUACAACUGCCUAGAACUCCGAGACAUAUAUAGCAAAUUCUGAGAGACAGGUGAUGGAGACAGGCGGAGGGGACCGGACGUUAAGCUCUGGGGACGAGCACUCUCGAGUCCACCUAAGUUAAUCUACACCCACAGCAAUACAACUCACACUGGAGUACGGGCGGUAAUCUAAACCUCUGUGUGUUCUUGUGUUCAUCGAACUUAUCAGAUAAAUCGUAGGCUGCUCUCUGGUCUUAGGAUUAGACAGGUGCAUCCCACCAACCCGCUGUAGUUUACUCGCACAACUAACACAUAGUACUCCUACAUUAGACAUCAAUAUCCCAUCGUGCCGAUCGGUCCAUUGUCCAGUAGUCUUCCUUCCUCCUUCCCUCCCUCACACACGCGCCACAAUCACAGGAAAGAGAUUGAUCGAGGACGCGUACAAUACAGUAGGUUACAUGCACAUUCACAAAAUUCAAGUAGCAGCAGCCCACAUGUCUCUAUCUCGCCCGGGAACCUCGGCCACGUCCAUCCCGUCCCUGCAUGUAUGUGUUUCACGAUCAGCCUUGGGGAAUUGACGAACUGUCUUCAUUAGUCUCUGAGCACAUGUAACAUAUAUAUGCAUGUUUUGGUUUAUAUAUUACUUGUGCAUUGUGACAAUAAUGUACGUGGUCCUAAGAGACCUGGAUGCUCUGUCUCUUCAUGUGAGCAUGCCCCCCAUCCACAUGUGUUUCACGCGUCGUGUUUUACGAUAUGAUGAUGAGCCCCAAAGCCCUUAGGUGCGUUUGGUUGCGAGACAUUCAGAAUAAGCCACUAGCGUCCUCUCUCGUCUCUCUAAUUUUAAGGGAUAACUAAGAUAACACUGGGAUAGUCAUAUUCCAACCCUUGACCCUGAACCAAACAAUCUUAAAUAUUCCAUCCCCGUCUCGUCCUGUCAUUAAUGUAAUCAAAUGCAUCUUUAUAGUGUGUUUGGUUUGUGGAGUCACUCCAUGCUUCAUGAGGUGAUGCAUCAUAAGUUCAUUCCAUCAAUUUUGGUAGAAUCAAACAACUCUUCAUUUAUAUACUAAUUAUUAGCUUAUGAGGAAUGAUGUGGUGAUGGAUCAACUCAUUAUAUUCCACAAACCAAAUAAAAAAGUGAGGAGUGAGAAGAAGAUGGAUCACUUCGUUCCUCAAACCAAACACACUAUUAAUGAAUUAGUUAUUAUGGGAUAGGUACAUGGGUCUAUGCUAAUUGCUAAGUUGUGAGAUGGUAGGCCGACCGUAGGAUAUCCACAUGCAUGACCACACAUCAUUCCCGGCCCCUAUAUAUAUAUCGCACAUGGAUGCAACAGUUGUGCACAUGCACAAUACUACCCUUAUGCUUCUCUGUAAUAUUUUUUUUUGACACCACAUCAUCCACUAAAAGAUCGAUUCAAGCAUAUGCUUGUUAUUUGAUUUAUAUACUUGAUUAGCUUAUGGCUCUAUCUCAACUAUAUUUAAGUGUGAGUUUAUUCGUGUGUUUCACCUUCCCACGCUCACGCGCGCCGGUCAGCAAA